rnacentral:misc_RNA from 1 species
UCCGAGUUGACCCCGGCAGUCUCCCAUGAGUCCCCAACUAAAUGCUGGCAACUAAGGACAGGGGUUGCGCUCGUUGCGCCACCUAAGGCAACACCUCACGGCACGAGCUGACGACAGCCAUGCACCACCUGUGCAGGCUCCGAAGAGCACCCGCUUUCACGGGUUUCACCCUGCAUGUCAAGCCCAGGUAAGGUUCUUCGCGUCGCAUCGAAUUAAACCACAUGCUCCGCUGCUUGUGCGGGUCCCCGUCAAUUCCUUUGAGUUUUAGCCUUGCGGCCGUACUCCCCAGGCGGGGCACUUAAUGCGUUAGCGUCGGCACGGGAGGAGUCGACACCUCCCACACCUAGUGCCCAUCGUUUACGGCGUGGACUAC